AAUAGAUACCCUGGUAGUCCACGCCGUAAACGUUGGGCGCUAGAUGUAGGGGCCAUUCCACGGUUUCCGCGUCGUAGCUAACGCAUUAAGCGCCCCGCCUGGGGAGUACGGCCGCAAGGCUAAAACUCAAAGGAAUUGGCGGGGGCCCGCACAAGCGGCGGAGCAUGCGGAUUAAUUCGAUGCAACGCGAAGAACCUUACCAAGGCUUGACAUAUACGAGAACACUGCAGAAAUGUAGGACUCUUUGGACACUCGUAUACAGGUGGUGCAUGGUUGUCGUCAGCUCGUGUCGUGAGAUGUUGGGUUAAGUCCCGCAACGAGCGCAACCCUCGUCGCAUGUUGCCAGCACGUAAAGGUGGGAACUCAUGUGAGACUGCCGGGGUCAACUCGGAGGAAGGUGGGGAUGACGUCAAAUCAUCAUGCCCCUUAUGUCUUGGGCUUCACGCAUGCUACAAUGGCCGGUACAAAGGGCUGCAAUACCGUAAGGUGGAGCGAAUCCCAAAAAGCCGGUCUCAGUUCGGA
rnacentral:rRNA from 1 species